rnacentral:rRNA from 1 species
AACGAACGCUGGCGGCGUGCCUAACACAUGCAAGUCGAGCGAUAAAGGGGAGCAACCCCUGAGUAAAGCGGCGAACGGGUGAGUAACACGUAGGUAACCUACCUAUCAGACCGGGACAACCUGUCGAAAGACGGGCUAAUACUGGAUAAGACCCCGUCUUCUUCGGAAGAUGAGGUAGAAGAUGGCCUCUACUUGUAAGCUAUCACUGAUAGAUGGGCCUGCGUAGCCAUUAGCUAGUUGGUAGGGUAAUGGCCUACCAAGGCUACGAUGGUUAGCUGAUCUUAGAGGAUGAUCGGCCACACUGGAACUGAAACACGGUCCAGACUCCUACGGGAGGCAGCAGUGGGGAAUCUUGCGCAAUGGACGAAAGUCUGACGCAGCAACGCCGCGUGGGCGAAGAAGGCCUUCGGGUCGUAAAGCCCUGUCGGAGGGGACGAAACCUUUUUUGGCUAACAUCCAAGAAAACUGACGGUACCCUCAAAGGAAGCACCGGCUAACCACGUGCCAGCCGCCGCGGUAA